GAAAUGCGAUACGCAAUGCGAAUUGCAGAAUUCCGCGAAUCAUCAGAUUCUUGAACGCAACUGGCGCUGGAGGGAUAUCCUUCCAGCAUGUCUGUUUCAGUGUCUGAAAACUUCCUAAUCAUUUUAAUGUGUUUGACAAAGGAGAUGAUUAUUCAUCCUUCCAGAGUCUUACAUGAAAGAUGUAUGUGUGGGUCUUUGGAUCCAUCGAAUUGGUCACUGAUUCUUCGGUGAUUUCGAUAGGAUAUCACCAAUUACUCGUAUACACAUAGAAUAAAAUAUACAUUCUUUAUCAUCUGCAUCUGAAAUCAGGCAAGAAAACCCGCUGAACUUAA
rnacentral:misc_RNA from 1 species